GAUGAACGCUAGCUAUAGGCUUAACACAUGCAAGUCGAGGGGCAGCACAGUGUAGCAAUACAUGGGUGGCGACCGGCGCACGGGUGCGUAACGCGUAUCCAACCUUCCCGUUACUCUCGGAUAGCCUUCCGAAAGGGAGAUUAAUACGAGAUGGUGUUGAAAUUCCGCAUGUUAUUUCAACUAAAGAUUCAUCGGUAACGGAUGGGGAUGCGUGACAUUAGGUAGAUGGCGGGGUAACGGCCCACCAUGCCCACGAUGUCUAGGGGUUCUGAGAGGAAGGUCCCCCACACUGGAACUGAGACACGGUCCAGACUCCUACGGGAGGCAGCAGUGAGGAAUAUUGGUCAAUGGCCGGAAGGCUGAACCAGCCAAGUAGCGUGAAGGAUGAAGGUUCUAUGGAUUGUAAACUUCUUUUAUACGGGAAUAAAACCACCUACGUGUAGGUGCUUGUAUGUACCGUAUGAAUAAGCAUCGGCUAACUCCGUGCCAGCAGCCGCCGCCGUAA
rnacentral:rRNA from 1 species